GUAACAUUCUGUGUAUUCCUGAUGUAAAUAUGUCAAUAUAUUUGAUAACAGUCCUCAUUCCGUUUCAACUUGCCUAGACAUUGUUGAAAUAUUUAUUUAGCAUAUUUGUAGAAAGUAAGCAGUAUGAACAAGACCAAAUUCGUAAUAGGAUUUAUCGGACUCUUGUUGCUUUUCAAUAUUUGCACAGCCGGCUGGCGAGUUCGUGUAAGACUGAGGGUUCGGGUUAGCAAAGACAAAAAGCGACGUUCUAUUGAGACUAAGGGAACAGAAUACUCUUUUGAUGUUCCAUGUAAUCUUAUGAAUUACGACAUUGACAACAACGAUAUGAUAAGUAUCGAAGAGUUUGCGGAGGCACUCAAGCAACACGUAGAUAAUACUGGUGUAAGAGAGUUGUUUGUUGUUAUCGAUAAAAACGGAGAUGGAGUUCUCGAUGCUAAAGAGUUGAAUGCGGCUAAAGAGUGUCGAUAAAUAAAUCUGAUGCAGACCAGGACCGGACCCACCAAGAAUUCCCGUUACUACAUUUUUCUUUGCUGAUAAUUAUAAUUCAAAUAAAUCAUUGCAAAUGUU